CGCUGGCGGCGUGCCUAAUACAUGCAAGUUGAACGCUUGAUUUUCACCGAAGCUUGCUUCACCGAAAAUCAAGAGUAGCGAACGGGUGAGUAACGCGUGGGUAACCUACCUUUCAGCGGGGAUAACUAUUGGAAACGAUAGCUAAUACCGCAUAACAAUGUUGGAUGCAUAUUCGACAUUUGAAAGUACCAACUGGUACACUGAGAGAUGGACCCGCGUUGUAUUAGCUAGUUGGUAGUGUAAUGGACUACCAAGGCGAUGAUACAUAGCCGACCUGAGAGGGUGAUCGGCCACAUUGGGACUGAGACACGGCCCAAACUCCUACGGGAGGCAGCAGUAGGGAAUCUUCGGCAAUGGACGAAAGUCUGACCGAGCAACGCCGCGUGAGUGAAGAAGGUUUUCGGAUCGUAAAACUCUGUUGUUAGAGAAGAACGUUGCAUAGAGUGGAAAAUUAUGCAAGUGACGGUAUCUAACCAGAAAGGGACGGCUAACUACGUG
rnacentral:rRNA from 1 species